CUUCAACACACACCAAAGGUCUUCGAAGUUCCAUUCUUAUUCUCUUUCUCUCUUUUAGCUUUGGGUUUUUGUUUCUACAAGCUUUGCUUCAUGUUCUUCACUUCUUUUUUGAAGCUUUCUUUUGGGUCUUCCUUGUUUCACAUAUUCAGACAUUGGGUCCUUUUUUUAUUCUACUUUUCGGGUUAGGGUUUUUUAGCUCUUUUCUAUUUUUGCAUGGGAUGGUAUGAUGAUGAUGAUGGUACAACAGUCACUGUUUGCUGCUGCAGCAUUAUCAAGAUUCACAAGAAGCAUUUUAGGGUCUUUUUUGACUGAUUGAUCAAUCAAUAAGCCCUUUUAUGAUUGAGAAUCCUGAUGAUGCUGCAGUGGCAAUAAGUGGCUAAAUAUUCCAAUUUAUUACAAGCAAGUGCUACAAAAAAGAAAAAAAAUGAAGAUGAAUUGAUCUUCUCUUUUGCUUAUAUCUUUGUUCUUUCUUACAUUUAAUGUUAACAACCUUACAAAAUAUUUGAUAAUAUUAUUAGGGUUUUUUGGCCUAUAAUCCAAGCUACAUUAUCCAAGAUUUUCAGCUGCUAAACCCAAAAAAAUCCCCAGUAAAUGACAUCUUUGUAAAAAGAAGAAGAAGAAGAAGAAGAAGAAGAAGAAGAAGAAGAAGAAGAAACAAUGUAAACUUCAGAAUCCAACAGACAACCUUUGUAUGAUGACAUAUGUGGAUUAUUGACAUUUUAUAUGAAAAUGUUUUAGUUAAAAGCAGUGCCUUCAUUGAAUAUCAAGGAUGUUUCCACAUUCUGGUCUCAGCCAUUGAUGAACAAACAAUCUCUCAAUACAUGGUUGGCAGACUGUCUGAAAAAAAACAUGUUCCCGUUAUAUGGUCUGCUACGUUGUAAACGUUUAACAUAUUGCUUUGUGUAACUCGGCAAAAUCCCAGAUCAUGUGCCAUUGUUUUGCUGUCUCAUUAAACCUUGUAUAUUGUUUGUUGGGGAUUCUUACAAGCCCUGAAAAGAUAAUAUAAUGUUAAAAGGAAAUAAAACAUAAUAAA